UACGUAGGGUGCAAGCGUUAAUCGGAAUUACUGGGCGUAAAGCGUGCGCAGGCGGCUUUGCAAGACAGAUGUGAAAUCCCCGGGCUUAACCUGGGAACUGCAUUUGUGACUGCAUGGCUGGAGUGCGGCAGAGGGGGACGGAAUUCCGCGUGUAGCAGUGAAAUGCGUAGAUAUGCGGAGGAACACCGAUGGCGAAGGCAAUCCCCUGGGCCUGCACUGACGCUCAUGCACGAAAGCGUGGGGAGCAAACAGG
rnacentral:rRNA from 1 species